rnacentral:rRNA from 1 species
ACGGAGGGUGCGAGCGUUGUUCGGAAUUAUUGGGCGUAAAGCGCGUGUAGGCGGUUGUUUAAGUUUGAUGUGAAAGCCCCGGGCUCAACCUGGGAAGGGCAUUGGAAACUGGGAGACUUGAAUACGGGAGAGGGUAGUGGAAUUCCUGGUGUAGGAGUGAAAUCCGUAGAUAUCAGGAGGAACACCGGUGGCGAAGGCGGCUACCUGGACCGAUAUUGACGCUGAGACGCGAAAGCGUGGGGAGCAAACAG